CCCGCCCGCCGCGGGGGGAGGGCGCCGGGGCCACCGUCCCGGCGGAGGCGCGCGCCUUGGCCGUUGGAAGCCGUUGUGGGAGGUCCCGAGCGGACGAGCGGAGAGCGGGCUCGGCCCUGGCUCUGCCGAGAGCUUUACCGGCGGUCCCCGCCGCCGCGAGCGGGGAGCGGGCCCCGCCGCCGCGUUCCGCCAGCGGCGGUUUGAGCCAUUGCCGGCCGUGCGGCGGGGCCCGGGGCUGGCGGCGGUGGGGUGGCGCUGGGUGGGGCUGCGGGGUGUGCCGGACGGCGGCCCCGGCAGCGGUUCUGCCAUGGCUGACGGCGUCUCUCCCUCGCUCCCCGCCGUCGGGAACCUUUCCUUCCCGAGACCACAACUGAACGGGGGUUUUGUUCUGUUUCAUUAAUGAUUUUGAGGGCCGAGAGGAGCCAUGCUGACCCGUCAGUGUACAGGGCAGUCUCGCUGGACACCUUGCCGAGGCAUGAAGUCUUACCCAUAUACCAGAACAACUGUCGAACGGGUUGUUUCUGAUUUGAAACUUCAUACUGCAAAAACGAUGAUUGGGAAACAGUGAGGAGAAGUCUUACUAGGCAAUGAACAGCUGUGUGGAGACCCCAGCAGAGCUGGUGCAGGCCUGCAUUUUCACGUGGGGUGUGCUGUGCCAUGUGGCCGUGUCCCCUUGGACCUGGAAGUGGCCUAGUGAGGCCAAGUGUGGUUGUGCAGAUAACUGCAUGUGCAGCUAGCUCAGUGUCGGUAUGCCACUGUCUGUAGUGCUUGCAUGUUCUUUUUCUUCGUUUCUCUGUUUCUGCAGCUUAAGCAAAUCUGAGAAAGCCGAGAACAAGAGAUUAAAAUUUAAUAGUGUGUGUUGUCCUGUGUGAGCAGUUUACUGGUUAGUGUGGCUCUUCCGUUUGUUCACUUGAUUUGCAGGUAUCCGUGGAUGCUGGGUUUGGUUUUGUUACAAGCCUGUUGCAUCCAAGUUACAGAGUAAGUUACUAAUAUUCCUGAUGGAUAUUAGUGCAGUUACAAUGAUACUAACACAGUUCAAAUAAAUACAGGCAAAAUUAAUAUAUACAACGUUUCUGAUGUUUCUGCUUUUUUUCUAAUAGCACCUUUCCCCUGAUGUUAUACUAAAUUUUUUUGCUGGGUCUCUGGGUCCUAAGGGCACUGGCUCAGUUUGGUAGUGGGGAGGGGACAAAUUCAAGCAAGUCAUCAGCAUCCCAAAUCCUUUGUUGAGAGGAGUAUGAUGUUGAUUGCUUUGUACUUCUCAGAGUCUGCAUUUAGAAAUGUGUGUAAAAAAUCCACAUCUUAGUUCUCCUUCAUUGUUUUGCACUCCACAUUUUAGCUGAGUUGACUGCCUAUGGUGUGCUUUACAUGUAUUGAAUAGUUUUGUUAUCCUAAAACUGGUUUUAACCAUGUCUCAGAACUGCAUUCCUUUGAUCAGUAUUUGACUAUUGCUGAAUUGUUUAUAACACCAGGGCAUUUCGGCGUCUUCCUCUGCCUGUGUGUUUAAGGGCUCUGCUGUCAUCCCAUGUUCCUGCUCUCAUAAGAUUUGAUCUUUUAUGCUGCUUUUUAAAAUUCUAAGUCAGAGAGAGCUCAUUUCUGUUAGUAACAAAAAUCAAUACGAUAGUGUUACAGCACACAAUUGUACAAAGCUGAGCAAAAAUUAAAACAAAGCAGGUAAUUGCUACCUGGUCAUAACAGUGGUUACAGUUAAACAAAUUAAAAAAACCUUCCAGGCUGGCCAAAACAAGUCCAGGCAAUGUCUGACUAUUCCUGAGAACUAUUUUGUAGGCCUGAUACAAAUCCCGUGGCCUCUUAAAAACAAUGCUUGAUAAGUUACAAUAUGUGUCAGGGAUACUGUAUAGGUGGGCAUUCCUGUGAGCUGAAACAGUCGCUUGUGACAGGAGAAGACUUGAUGUUGGUCCAUGAUGGCUUAAGCUAAUUUAAGUCUGAGAGGCUGUGUUGGAGUUUCCUCCUUUUUGCCCUGCGCAAGGAUUUAGAGGAUUUAGGUGGCCACCCAUCUGUAUAUUUCAGUUACAGAGUAGGUUGCUUAAAUUCCCACUGGUUAUUAGUGCAGUUACAGUGAUCAGGGAGCUGAUCCACUGAAAAAUAACCUGAACUGAAAAAAAAAUAGGCCUGCCUGGACCAGCUCACCGCACAACUGUACAACUUUCAGGGUUAGUACAAGGAAAAGGAUAAAAACAUUUGGGGAAAUGUUACACGUGCAGCAACAGGAUUCAGAUUUGCUUUUGGAGAAUGGCUGUGUGAAUAAGCAAGUAAAGUUAGCUUAUAUUUGGUGUAUGGUAACAACAUGCACAUGUACAGUUACUCUGCAGCAGCUUGCAUACUACUGUAAGUGAAAGUAACUCAAAAAAAAAAAAAA